rnacentral:rRNA from 1 species
UACGUAGGGGGCGAGCGUUGUUCGGAAUUACUGGGCGUAAAGGGCUCGUAGGCGGCCAACUAAGUCAGACGUGAAAUCCCUCGGCUUAACCGGGGAACUGCGUCUGAUACUGGAUGGCUUGAAUCCGGGAGAGGGAUGCAGAAUUCCAGGUGUAGCGGUGAAAUGCGUAGAUAUCUGGAGGAAUACCGGUGGCGAAGGCGGCAUCCUGGACCGGCAUUGACGCUGAGGAGCGAAAGCCAGGGGAGCAAACGGG